UACGUAGGGGGCGAGCGUUGUCCGGAAUCAUUGGGCGUAAAGAGCUCGUAGGCGGUUCAGCAAGUCGGCUGUGAAAUUCCGAGGCUCAACCUCGGAACUGCAGUCGAUACUGCUGUGACUCGAGUCCGGUAGAGGAGAAUGGAAUUCCCGGUGUAGCGGUGAAGUGCGCAGAUAUCGGGAGGAACACCAGUAGCGAAGGCGGUUCUCUGGGCCGGUACUGACGCUGAGGAGCGAAAGCGUGGGGAGCAAACAGG
rnacentral:rRNA from 1 species